GUAGCAGAAUAGUUUGUUCUUUAAUUGGGAGUUGGUAUAAAUGGUUAAACAAGGAAAAUCUUUUUAAGUUAAAUAAAGUAAAUUAAAGUUUAAGUUAAAAUGCUUAGAUGGGAUAAAGGGACGAUAAGACCCUAAAAGCUUAAUUUAUUUAAAUGGAAGAGGUAAUGUAAAAUUAUAAUUGAAGGUAAAAUUAGCUGGGGAAGUGUGUUUGUGGAAUCAAAAUGGAAUAGUAUUAUGAUUUAAGAUUUAAGAUCUUUAAAAUGAGAAUUGACAGAAUAAGUUACUUUAGGGAUAACAGCGCAAUGGUUUUGGAGAGUCCUUAUUUAUAAAAUUAUGUGCGACCUCGAUGUUGAAUUAAGAAGUCUUAGAGGGGCAGAAAACUUAUAAGAGGGUUUGUUCAACCUUUAAAUUUUU
rnacentral:rRNA from 1 species